UUAUUUAGAAGACACAGUUAAGAGGGACGAACACAGCAAAAUAAAUUUGUACCAAAAGCAAAUUUAAUUGUACACCUUUCUUUUCAUAAAAUGUGUGUAUUGUAAUAUUUUAACACGUGUAGCUUUCUUUCUCUGCAUAAUACAUCUGUACUAUAUUUACCCAUCUAAACCCUAUUACUGAAGAAGAACCGACCAUUUAUUUCUCUCAAAGCCGGUGGUGAAAGAGGAUUAGAAAUUUCUUCCUAUUCAGAUUUGUUAAUGCUUUUUUGGUCCAAACAUAUUUCAAUCCAGAUGAACACUGGCAAGUCCUUGAAGUUGCUCAUCGAAUCUCAUUUGGAUGUGGACAUUUGACGUGGGAAUAGGAAAAGGGUAUAAGGAGUUAUCUUCAUCCAGUGAUAUUUGCUGGAUUGUAUAAAGUUCUUGCCCUUUUUCAUCUUGACAAACCUUGUUUCAUGGUAAGAAUUGUAUAUCCUGGUUGCCUACCUAAUGUAUCAAAUAAUGGUAGAGAAGCAGCUUCAAAGACAAGGUAAGAUUAUACAUGUAAUGGCUUAUGUGAGCAAAUUUUUUUUGACAUGUUCGAAACUACCUUAUUCUGCUUCUUUUUGUAAUUUAAUUCUGUCACUUUUCUUCUCAGAUGAACUUUGUUUUAACAACAUGAACUCGAUAAUUAUUUGUAGAUGUCUACAUCUUUAUGGGUUUGGCAUUUGUUGAAGAACUUUUCUUUCACAUUAUGAAAUUUUAGUAUAUAUUUUGACCUUAUAGUCUAAACUGAAAAGACGCUGAUAUUUUAUAUUUAGGCGAAAACAUUUUUAUGUUUAGGCAAACUUGAUUCGAAUCCUUUUUAAUCAUCUAGAUUUUUCCGUCUUAAAUGUUGUUCACCGUGAAUAAAGUACUGACAAUUGAAUGCAUUGAUGAAGCACCGAUAUUUUUCUUAAUUGUCUUCCACAAUUUUUCUUGGAUUCUUGUGAGUUCUGACAGAUGUCUCUUAAAAUACAUUCAUAAUUUUGUUGUCAAUAUUAUGCAGGUCUAGCUCUAAAAUACUAAAAAUUAGUAGUAUUUUCUUAUCAAUAUAUGAUACUUUUUGUAGAUAAGUAAUGGCUUGAUGUGGUCACAUGUUUGACGAAUUUUCCCAGUGAAGGUAUAACUUGUGUAUUAUGAAGAGAGAUUAGUUACAUGAGUUGAUUUUGUUGGUGGAAUGAAGUUGAACGGUGGGCUUAGAUGAAUAGACAUUUUCCUCUAUAAUAUCUGUUUUUCAUAUGGUAUUUUUCCCCAAUAAAAUGAGUAAUUUUUAUAUGUUAAAGGUUUCUGCUUUGGAGUGAUUUUAUUUUCCUGUGAUGUCACAACUUUAAGGUAAUUAUUGAGAAAGAAUCUGAGUUGCCGAAUUUUUUGAUGCUGCCAUGAAAUAAGAAGUUAUAUGGUAAUGCUAAAAAUUCAGGGUAAGCUUUCACUAUUGAUCUUUUUGUUGGUUGAAGUUGAACUACAUUUUCGAAAAAAUUCAGCUACUAAUAUAGUUAGCUGAGGUGGUUUUCAAAAAAAAUUGUUUUAAAUUACAAAGUCAGAAAUAACAAACAGGUUGAAUCAGGCGAAAAUGUUGAUUUCAGGCUCUCCAAUCUCCAAGUCCUCUAAGGUACCAUUCCCAUUUUCUUAAGAAGCUUUAAACUUUUUGGCCGUUUUCUUUUGACAACUGAAUUUUUUUCGCUAUUCUGUGUUAUUUAUUGAUAAUGGCCCUUGAUGUUGGUGUUGAAUUUAUUUUUUAGCAGUUCUUGGAUAAAAUCUGAAACAUUAAUAUUGAAAAUUCUAUUACUACAUUGAGUUCUACAAGUCUGUCAUAUGAUCUUAUACUUUCUCAAAGUUUCUGCCUCAUGUGUUCAUAUUAGUUAAGAUGCAAUUGAUGAUGUUAGAAAUUUUUUUCAUCUGAUCAAUAAAAAAAAUGAAAAUAAGAAAUCUAGCAAACAAGUAACAAUGUUGAUGCUAGAAUUUUUUUUUUGAGAAAUGAGAGUAAUAAAAUGUCCACUUAAUGGAAGAAUCCUAUAAGACUAACACUUUUCUUUAAUCUGGAGUUUGUUGCUCAAGAGUAGCUACUAUUCAAGUUGCUUCUGAUAACUCUAGAUAAGUUCACAAAAUAAAGAAUUAAUAAUGACGAUUUCAAGUACUAAAUUAGAUAGUUCAAUUUGAAAAUAUUGUCUAAAAUCCACAAAACAAAUCCGCUAUGAAAUUCUUAUCAUUGAAUACAAUUUACAGAUUGUCGUUUAGUUUCUUUUUCUCUCAAUCUGUUUCAGGGGUAAGGGGAUGAAAUACAGAGAACAACCAUAUUGAAACAAAGUUUGUUUUUUUGCAGCUGAUGUCUGUUGAGUUUCCGUGCUUGACGUUAUUUCGAUUUGUUUUACUAUUCAUGAAUAUGAAUAAGAUAAUUUUCUAGAUUUAUAUUAGAAAGUACUUGACCUACUAAUAAUUAUUUAUGUUCGACAAAUGUUCGAUAGAACUUUGAGUGCAUCACUGAUGAAAAUAAGUAGAAUGUUUAUGGUACUUAUAUGUAGGUAUCUGCUUAUGGGAAGAGGAAAAUCACGACUCGCAAAAAUGCAAGUGAUAUGAUUAAGCUUAGUAGAAUUGUUGUCGCAAAAGUAAUACAAUUUUUUGUUGUAUUUGAACUCACUUUGUUGAACAAGACACAAGUACUACUUGAUAUUUUCAAAUAUACAUAUAUCCCUUUUCAGUAGAUAACACAUGCUCCAUUUGCUACUUACCAGAGAUACAACUAUGAUCACCUCCGUUCAUCAUCUUUGUCAUUUACCUAGAAGAUUAGAAGCAACUUUCAAAAUCUUCAGGAAUUUGUGGUCUUAAUCCAAUGUUGGCGGGGUGAAAUGAUUGAUUCGAAAUUCAUCGAGGAGUUACUAAGCUUGGUUCUUGAAGAUGCAUGCGUUUCUCGACUUGUGCAUGUUAUUUUUAUCCGAUUCUACCGUUGCGGGAGAGUUGAUUCAGGUUCUUAACAUGCUUUUUUCUACAUCUCUUUUCUUUUAAUAUUAACAGAGCUACACAUUAUUCUCGCCAAGUUUAUUUUUCCACAAGAAAUAGAAACAUUAAGUUUUUAGCACACAAUUUUUAUAUGAUACUUUUAUUUUUCUGCUUAUCGUGAUUUGUAAAUUUCCUUAGUCGGAGAAGGUUACUGAUUUUUGUUUCAAUAUGAAUAAGGAUUGUAAACCAGUUCUCUUUGUUGAAUUUUUUCCUAGGUGAGACAAAUGCAUUUUUUUUAUUCUAUAGCCGUCUACUUUAAUUUUUGUAGCCUUCUUAAUUUCAAGUUUCUUCAGUUGAUUAUCUUUCACUUUUUUACUAGCUUCUUGAAGGUAUCUCAUAAUAGCUUCUUACUAUGUGGUUUAUGGAAUAGCCAAGGUUGGUUAUAGAAUACCUAGCAGUGCCUAGCAGUGCAGUGUAGCUCAACUUAUUGAAAUGAUAAAUCAACACACAUUUGAAGAUACAUAUAUUCGAUGUCUCAUAGUAUUUUUGAUAAUGUACUUGUAUUUUUACUUGUAGAAGAUAACUAUCUUAUUAAGCACAAUGAUACACAGAACAAAUAUUUUCAUA